GUUUAUAUAGUUUAAUAAAAACAUUACAUUUUCAUUGUAAAAAUAAAAUAACUUUUUUUAUAAAUU
rnacentral:tRNA from 1 species